rnacentral:rRNA from 1 species
GAUGAACGCUGGCGGCGUGCCUAAUACAUGCAAGUCGAGCGAACGGACGAGAAGCUUGCUUCUCUGAUGUUAGCGGCGGACGGGUGAGUAACACGUGGAUAACCUACCUAUAAGACUGGGAUAACUUCGGGAAACCGUAGCUAAUACCGGAUAAUAUUUUGAACCGCAUGGUUCAAAAGUGAAAGACGGUCUUGCUGUCACUUAUAGAUGGAUCCGCGCUGCAUUAGCUAGUUGGUAAGGUAACGGCUUACCAAGGCAACGAUGCAUAGCCGACCUGAGAGGGGGAUCGGCCACACUGGAACUGAGACACGGUCCAGACUCCUACGGGAGGCAGCAGUAGGGAAUCUUCCGCAAUGGGCGAAAGCCUGACGGAGCAACGCCACGUGAGUGAUGAAGGUCUUCGGAUCGUAAAACUCUGUUAUUAGGGAAGAACAUAUGUGUAAGUAACUGUGCACAGCUUGACGGUACCUAAUCAGAAAGCCACGGCUAACUACGUG